UCAAUUUUAACCCAAACAACAUCACAUGCUAGUUUUAACCCAAAAGUGACCCAGUCACAAAAAAAACCCUAAAAGUUACCCGCGCCGUCAUCAUCCUCAAACAACAUCUCCAUCUUCAUCGUUCAUCGUUCAUCACCCAUGCCUUUCCUCUAACCCAAUGACCUUCGUCCUCAUGCCUUCAUCGUCCGAGACCGUUCAUCGCCUUCAUCCUCAUCUGUCUAAGCCAAUGACCUUCACACCCAUGCCUUUCCUCUAACCCUCUCUCUGUCGAACCCUCGUAUAUCUGUCGAACCCUAAAUCUAAAAUCACCCUCCCCUCACUGGAACCUUAACUCCCUAAGUCUCUUCUCUUGCUCUCUUAUCUGCCUUUUAGUUUUCUCUUCCGUCACUCUCUUCUCUCCCUCGCACACGCCAGAACCGCCGUCGCAUAGAAUCCACUUCGCACACGCCAUCGCAGACUCGCACGUCUCGCGGUCUCGGUCCAAGGCGUGUUCUCCUCGUCGUGUCGUCUCCGUCCCGUGAACAUCUACGUCUUACUCUCCCGUUCUGUGAGCGUCGCUGUCCUCCCCGUCCCGUGAACGUUGCUGUCCUCCCCGUCCCGUGAACGCCGCUGUCGUUCUUCUUGAUUCCUGGUCGCUCAUCCCUCGCGCCGUUGGCUUCGGUGGUGCCAUUUUGCUGUGCGUAGCUUUGGCCUACUUCAUCUCCGACCGCCGUUGGACGAAGAAGAAACCGAUUAUAAAGAAAAGUAGAGGAGUGGUUGCUCUUCAAAUUAUCCAAGAGUUGUGCAGAUAGAUAAUGCUAAAGAAUUCUUGUGUUAGCCAGCUCGCCAUUCCUCGCCAGUUCGCCGUUCUGGUCGUCGUGCUGCUCACCCCUCUCUCUCGCGGUUCUGCUCGCUUCUCUGUCGCGGUUCUGCUUGCGGUGCUGCUCGAAGGUAGCAGGCAUAAUCUAACUUCUGAAAAAUGAGGUGUUUGAAGGAUGCUGCUGGACCACCUUUGAACAAGAUGCAUCCCCAUGAAAACUCAUCAUGUCACUAAUGGAACUAUCUGGCUCCGUUUCUAGAUUAAUAAUGGAUCAAAGCUCCAUUGAUUAUGGUUAUAGGUAUGGAGAAGGUGAUGCUGAAUGAACUCUAAAGAUGGUAGACACGGGAGUAAUUGGUAGCGAGAUUGCCAUGGCCGAAGAGUCAGGCAUCUGGUCUAAACCCAACAAUGACAAUUUCACACAAUGCAUAGAACUGCCAAGAAAUCAUAAGAGGCUAGAUGCAAAGACCAACGGCUAUAUCCUCAUAAACGCUAAUGGUGACUUGAACCAGAUGAGAUUUGGGGUCUGGUAGUAUUGAUUUCUGAUGGUAUAUUAUGAAAAGUUAGGUAGCAAAAGAUUUAUGGUGAAGAUGAAUGGUCAUUUGGAUUCUGGGAGCAAGGUACUGGAGUUUUUAGUUGCCCUUCUAGAAAAAAUAUGAUAAGGAAGAAGUUGCGGCCAGUGAAGACAAUGAGUUUUAAAGCAAAUGGUAGCAGGAGUUCUUCCCACAUCAACUUUUUGUUAAUCAUAGUUCUGCUGUAUAUCACUUUUUGGUUUUCCAUCCUUCAUAUCUUUGGGAGCAUUAUAGUUUUAAUUUAAAUUAUUAUUAUCGCAUGUAAAUAAUUCAUAUAAAUCAAUAAAAAAUCAAUUCUUAUGCCUUCUAA